CCUACGGGUGGCAGCAGUGAGGAAUAUUGAUCAAUGGGCGCGAGCCUGAACCAGCCAAGUAGCGUGCGGGAUGACGGCCCUAUGGAUUGUAAACUUCUUUUGUAGGGGAGUAACAGACCCCACGCGUGGCGUUUCGCAUGUACCCGAAGAAAAAGCAUCGGCUAACUCCGUGCCAGCAGCCGCGGUAAUACGGAGGAUGCGAGCGUUAUCCGGAUUUAUUGGGUUUAAAGGGGGCUAAGGCGGAAGUUCAAGUGUGCGUGAAAAUUUCGGGGCUCAACCGCGUCGUGCCGUUGAAACUGGUGUGCUUGAGUGAGCGAGAAGUAGGCGGAAUGCGUGGUGUAGCGGUGAAAUGCAUAGAUAUGACGCAGAACUCCGAUUGCGAAGGCAGCAUACUGGAGCUCAACUGACGCUGAUGCACGAAAGUGUGGGUAUCGAACAGGAUUAGAUACCCUAGUAGUC
rnacentral:rRNA from 1 species